rnacentral:misc_RNA from 1 species
UGUCUAUUAUAAAUUAGGCUGCUAUGCC